GACGAACGCUGGCGGCGUGCUUAACACAUGCAAGUCGAGCGGUAAGGCCCUUUCGGGGUACACGAGCGGCGAACGGGUGAGUAACACGUGGGUGACCUGCCCUCAGCUCUGGGAUAAGCCUGGGAAACCGGGUCUAAUACUGGAUAUGACUCCAUGACGCAUGUUGUGGGGUGGAAAGCCUUGUGCGGCUGAGGAUGGGCCCGCGGCCUAUCAGCUUGUUGGUGGGGUGANGGCCUACCAAGGCGACGACGGGUAGCCGGCCUGAGAGGGCGACCGGCCACACUGGGACUGAGACACGGCCCAGACUCCUACGGGAGGCAGCAGGUGGGGAAUCUUGCGCAAUGGGCGAAAGCCUGACGCAGCGACGCCGCGUGAGGGAUGACGGCCUGG
rnacentral:rRNA from 1 species